CAGUAGCCGCGGUAAUACGGAGGGUGCAAGCGUUAAUCGGAAUUACUGGGCGUAAAGCGUGCGUAGGCGGUUCGUUAAGUCUGUUGUGAAAGCCCCGGGCUCAACCUGGGAAUGGCAAUGGAUACUGGCGAGCUAGAGUGUGUCAGAGGAUGGUGGAAUUCCCGGUGUAGCGGUGAAAUGCGUAGAGAUCGGGAAGAACAUCAGUGGCGAAGGCGGCCAUCUGGGACAACACUGACGCUGAGGCACGAAAGCGUGGGGAGCAAACAGGAUUAGAUACCCCGGUAGUCCCUGUCUCUUAUAC
rnacentral:rRNA from 1 species